AGUGAACGCUGGCGGUAGGCCUAACACAUGCCAGUCGAACGGCAGCACAGUAAGAGCUUGCCCUUACGGGUGGCGAGUGGCGGACGGGUGAGGAAUACAUCGGAAUCUACUUUUUCGUGGGGGAUAACGUAGGGAAACUUACGCUAAUACCGCAUACGACCUACGGGUGAAAGCAGGGGAUCUUCGGACCUUGCGCGAUUGAAUGAGCCGAUGUCGGAUUAGCUAGUUGGCGGGGUAAAGGCCCACCAAGGCGACGAUCCGUAGCUGGUCUGAGAGGAUGAUCAGCCACACUGGAACUGAGACACGGUCCAGACUCCUACGGGAGGCAGCAGUGGGGAAUAUUAGACAAUGGGCGCAAGCCUGAUCCAGCCAUACCGCGUGGGUGAAGAAGGCCUUCGGGUUGUAAAGCCCUUUUGUUGGGAAAGAAAAGCAGCAGGUUAAUACCCCGCUGUUCUGACGGUACCCAAAGAAUAAGCACCGGCUAACUUCGUG
rnacentral:rRNA from 1 species